UACGUAUGUUGCGAGCGUUAUCCGGAAUUAUUGGGCUUAAAGGGCAUCUAGGCGGUAAGACAAGUUGAAGGUGAAAACCUGUGGCUCAACCAUAGGCUUGCCUACAAAACUGUUGAACUAGAGUACUGGAAAGGUGGGUGGAACUACACGAGUAGAGGUGAAAUUCGUAGAUAUGUGUAGGAAUGCCGAUGAUGAAGAUAACUCACUGGACAGAAACUGACGCUGAAGUGCGAAAGCUAGGGGAGCAAACAGG
rnacentral:rRNA from 3 species